AGCCUUAUAAGUUCUGUAAUCAGUUUAAUACUUACCACUAUUCCACUAAUAUAUUUAUGCACAUUCCAAGUAGUUAUGAAGGAACUACUUGAAUGAACAUAUAUUUAUAUAAAUAGACAUUCAGUUCUACAUGCAAACACACACAUACACACAUGCACAGGCCAUUCAAGUAUUUUUGAAAUGGGAAGAAAUCAGUGCAUGGCACUCCUUUUUUUCUCCCUCUACUCCUGUUAUUCAAAAAAAAAGAUAAAAAGAAAG
rnacentral:lncRNA from 1 species